rnacentral:rRNA from 1 species
AAUUCCCCUUGCYUAACACAUGCAAGKYGAACGAAGAAUGUAGCAAUACUUUYUUWGUGGCGAACGGGUGAGUAACGCGUGGGCAACCUGCCCGAAAGGCCGGGAUAACAGCGGGAAACCGCUGCUAAUACCGGAGAAGCCCCCAGGGGGGAGAUCCYKGGAGGAAAGGGGAAACCCGCUUUCGGAUGGGCCCGCGUCCCAUUAGCUAGUUGGCGAGGGUAACAGCCCACCAAGGCGACGAUGGGUAGCCGGCCUGAGAGGGUGAUCGGCCACACUGGGACUGAGACACGGCCCAGACUCCUACGGGAGGCAGCAGUGGGGAAUCUUGCGCAAUGGGCGAAAGCCUGACGCAGCGACGCCGCGUGAGCGAAGAAGGCCUUCGGGUUGUAAAGCUCUGUCAUCGGGGACGAAAAAAAUGACGGUACCCGAGGAGGAAGCCCCGGCUACUACGUCCAGCAGCCGCGGUAAUACAAGGGCGAANUUCGUUNAACCCUCA